GCGCCUGUGGUGGAAUUGGCAGACACGCUAGACUUAGGAUCUAGUGCCGCAAGGCGUGGGGGUUCGACUCCCUCCAGGCGCACCA
rnacentral:tRNA from 1 species